UUUUUUUGACGCGACAACGUCUUAUAAUUCGAUGGAGCCGGCUGCACGCACGAAAAAACAUGACUCAUGCGGCGUUACCUCGCUCUGAGGCGUUCCAUUUAAGGCUUGAAGUGCAAGCGAGAGCGCGCAACGAGCGACAAAGAGGCACAAUCGGCCUCCGCGUUCGGCAGCGUUCGACAUCUGUCUCUCUCCUACUUGAGUGAGCGAUGCAUCCGCGUGGACAGCUGCUAUACAAUAAUACAUUUUCAUGUUUUCGUCAAGUAUGAAGUUCAGUGAAAAGUGAAUGUGGUGUCAAUUGUUUAUAGCAACGAUAAUUGCGAUAAUUGAAAAAUGAAACCAUUCCAUCAGUAUUUUCUUACGACGUUGUCACGUUCAACUAUCGUCAGUAAACCGACUUUACAGACAA